rnacentral:rRNA from 1 species
AUUGAACGCUGGCGGCAGGCCUAACACAUGCAAGUCGAACGAGUGGCGGACGGGUGAGUAAUGUCUGGGAAACUGCCCGAUGGAGGGGGAUAACUACUGGAAACGGUAGCUAAUACCGCAUACCAUCGGAUGUGCCCAGAUGGGAUUAGCUAGUAGGUGGGGUAACGGCUCACCUGGGCGACGAUCCCCAGCUGGUCUGGGAGGAUGACCAGCCACGCUGGAACGGAGACACGGUCCAGAUUCCUACGGGAGGAAGCAGUGGGGAAGAUUGCACAAUGGGCGCAAGCCUGAUGAAGACAUGCCGCGUGUAUGAAGAAGGCCUUCGGGUUGUAAAGUACUUUCAGCGGGGAGGCGUUACCCGCAGAAGAAGCACCGGCUAACUCCGUGCCAGCAGCCGCGGUAAUAC